rnacentral:rRNA from 1 species
CAGUAGCCGCGGUAAUACGAAGGGGGCUAGCGUUGCUCGGAAUGACUGGGCGUAAAGGGCGCGUAGGCGGCUUGGUAAGUUAGAGGUGAAAGCCCGGAGCUCAACUCCGGAAUUGCCUUUAAGACUGCCGAGCUAGCAGGUGAGAGAGGUAAGUGGAAUUCCGAGUGUAGAGGUGAAAUUCGUAGAUAUUCGGAUGAACACCAGUGGCGAAGGCGGCUUACUGGCUCAUACUGGACGCUGAGGUGCGAAAGCGUGGGGAGCAAACAGGAUUAGAUACCCGUGUAGUCCCUGUCUCUUAUAC